GUUUUUUAAUUUAAAAAUGUGGAAACGCCUUGCUCCAUCCCGAACCAAGAAGCUAAGCACAUCGUGGGUGAUGAUACUACGCCUUACUGGCAGGGGGAAAGUAGCUCAUUGCGGACU
rnacentral:rRNA from 1 species